CAAUGUAAUAGAGCAGCAGGAAAUGCUAGCAGAAUGCUUGGUUGUAUAGGGAGAGGUAUUAGCAGUAGAAAGAGGGAAGUGCUCAUGCCAUUGUACAGAACACUGGUGAGACCUCACUUGGAGUAUUGUACACAGUACUGGAGACCGUAUCUUCAGAAGGAUAUCGAUACCUUAGAGAGGGUUCAGAGAAGGGCUACUAAACUGGUUCAUGGAUUGCGGGAUAAAACUUACCAGGAAAGGUUAAAGGAUCUUAACAUGUAUAGCUUGGAGGAAAGACGAGACAGGGGGGAUAUGAUAGAAACAUUUAAAU